CCUGAUUUCUCAUGCAGACAACCCGUCAAUUAAAACCAGUGCAAUGCCUGGGCGGGCCAGCCCGGGGAGGGGCUGCCGCUAGCUUGUUCAUUUCACUGGUCGCUACCACAAGAGGGCCCUGCUUAUUGUGCUACAUGUGGGGGCAGGCAGGGAACCAUCCCUGGUUUGUUUGCUGGCUGGUGAACUUCCUGGGUCAGACGCUGCUGCUCUGCCUCCAUUGUGAGCCGGGGGGAGCCCGGGCUGAGCCGCUGCUGAUUCCCGCCGGCUAGGGGGACUUUCUGCGGUGGCUGGAGCCAGCCCCGCGCUCUGCCGACACCAGCCCCGGAGCCGGAGCCUGCAGGAAAACAAACCGAAAUGGACUAACACCCCUUAUGGAUCCUGCCCCAUCGUCCUUCUCACCCUGACCGGCUGCAGAAUUGCAUCCACAUUUCGUUCCAGAUCAGGAGACGGGGCAGGGAAAUGGCUUCCACACAGCUGGUGCAGGAUGCAGCACAGCUCAUUGAGGAUUUCUGAUCUCCAAACCUGAUGUGAUCUCACAGCUGGAACAAGGGGAAGAGCCAUGGGUCCCAGAUCUCCAGGACUCUGAGGAAAGCAGGAUCCUAAAAGGUGCCCGCACAGGUGACUGGAUGAUGAGUGAGAACAAGGAGGAGAAUCCCUCACAGAAAGCUCCUAAACAAGUGGAGUUGCAUGGGAUGCUAUUGGGAAGAUCCAUAGGGGAUGCUCCUGCACAGGGAGAAGCUGGUGGGAGUCAGCUUGGAUCAAAGGACCAGAAGAAAAAGUACUCAGAGAAGGGACAGAGCAAAUCCGCUCCCCAUGAGGGUGUUUCCAGAGACAUCCAGAAAACCAUGGUCCAGCAGACUGGAGAGAUGCAGAAAAUAUGCCAGUACUGCGGGAAAAUCUUCAGCUGCAACUCACACCUCACUAGACACCAGAGAACCCACACAGGGGAGAGACCCUAUGAAUGCCCCAUCUGCGGAAAAAGCUUCGGUCAGAGCUCGCACCUGAUUGUACACGAGAGGAUCCACACCGGACAGAGACCCUUCAAGUGCGACGAAUGUGAGAAAAGCUUCAAUAGCAGCACGCGCCUUGUUGGACAUCAGAGACGCCAUAGGAAUAAAUUCUCUAAAUUCCCUCUGUUGGCUAGUGCAAAUACUGCAUUUCCCAGUUCCUUGAGUAUCCAGCUACCUCUCUCUGGCGUCAGGGGGCAGCUGCAGGUGCCUCUGGUCUGCUCAGUGAAUCUCUGGCUCUGCCUCCAGUAGCAAACCCCAAGCAGAGGAGAAGAAGCCCUGAUCAGUUUUUCUGCAUUGCUGCACUGCCAGGUGCCAGCCAGGGUGGGGUAGAGGAAAGAAGAACCUAGCUCCCUUAGCAACUCCCCUCCCUGGACUCAAAUCCCUUUCCACUAACCAAUUCCUUGAACUAAGCCACCUUUCUCACCCCAGAGACCUCUCUGCUGGGUCUUGGGCUGCCCCCUUCCCCCUUAUUGGCGCUAUUUCUGGUGGGGUGGGUGUCCCAGAGGCCCUUCCCUUGUAGACUUUGGGAGGAAACCAGGGAGUUCAAAUGCUGGGGACUAAGACUCCUAGACUUUAAGGUCAGAAGGGACCAUCAUGAUCACUUAGUCUGACCUCCUGCAUAUUGCAGGCCACAGAACCACCCUUCUAACAGUCCCCUAACCUCUGGCUGAGUUACUGCAGU